AGUGAACGCUGGCGGUAGGCCUAACACAUGCAAGUCGAACGGCAGCACAGUAAUAGCUUGCUCUUACGGGUGGCGAGUGGCGGACGGGUGAGGAAUACAUCGGAAUCUACUUUUUCGUGGGGGAUAACGUAGGGAAACUUACGCUAAUACCGCAUACGACCUACGGGUGAAAGCAGGGGAUCUUCGGACCUUGCGCGAUUGUAUGAGCCGAUGUCGGAUUAGCUAGUUGGCGGGGUAAAGGCCCACCAAGGCGACGAUCCGUAGCUGGUCUGAGGCGAUGGUCAGCUACACUGUCACUGAGACAGGGUCCCGACUCUUACGGGAGGCAGCGGUCGGGAAUAUUGGACAAGGGGCGCAAGCCGGAUCCAGCCAUACCGCGUGGGUGAAGAAGGACUUCGGGUUGGAAAGCCCUUUUGUUGGGAAAGAAAAGCAGCAGGUUAAUACCCCGCGGUUCUGACGGUACCCAAAGAAUAAGCACCGGCUAACUUCGUG
rnacentral:rRNA from 1 species